AGUGAACGCUGGCGGUAGGCCUAACACAUGCAAGUCGAACGGCAGCACAGUAAGAGCUUGCUCUUACGGGUGGCGAGUGGCGGACGGGUGAGGAAUACAUCGGAAUCUACUUUUUCGUGGGGGAUAACGUAGGGAAACUUACGCUAAUACCGCAUACGACCUACGGGUGAAAGCAGGGGAUCUUCGGACCUUGCGCGAUUGAAUGAGCCGAUGUCGGAUUAGCUAGUUGGCGGGGUAAAGGCCCACCAAGGCGACGAUCCGUAGCUGGUCUGAGAGGAUGAUCAGCCACACUGGAACUGAGACACGCUCCAGACUCCUGCGGGAGGCAGCAGUGGGGAAUAUUGGACAAUGGGCGCAAGCCUGGUCCAGCCAUACCGCGUGGGUGAAAGAGGCCUUCGGGUUGUAAAGCCCUUUUGUUGGGAAAGAAAAGCAGCAGGUUAAUACCCCGCUGUUCUGACGGUACCCAAAGAAUAAGCACCGGCUAACUUCGUG
rnacentral:rRNA from 1 species